UACGGAGGGUGCAAGCGUUAUCCGGAUUCACUGGGUGUAAAGGGUGCGUAGGCGGACAGGUAAGUCAGCGGUGAAAUCUCCGAGCUUAACUCGGAAACUGCCUUUGAUACUCUCUGUCUUGAAUAUGGUGGAGGUAAGCGGAAUAUGUCAUGUAGCGGUGAAAUGCUUAGAGAUGACAUAGAACACCUAUUGCGAAGGCAGCUUACUGCGCCUAUAUUGACGCUGAGGCACGAAAGCGUGGGGAUCAAACAGG
rnacentral:rRNA from 1 species